GCCCAUGUGGCUCAGUGGUAGAGCGCUCCCUUGGUAAGGGAGAGGUCAGCAGUUCGAUCCUGCUCAUGGGCACCA
rnacentral:tRNA from 1 species